UGGGGAAUCUUGCACAAUGGGCGAAAGCCUGAUGCAGCGACGCCGCGUGAGGGAUGAAGGCCCUAGGGUUGUAAACCUCUUUCAGCAGGGACGAAGCGAAAGUGACGGUACCUGCAGAAGAAGCCCCGGCUAACUACGUGCCAGCAGCCGCGGUAAUACGUAGGGGGCGAGCGUUGUCCGGAUUUAUUGGGCGUAAAGAGCGCGUAGGUGGUUUGUAAAGUCGGAUGUGAAAGUCCAGGGCUCAACCCUGGGAUGCCAUUCGAUACUUGCAAACUAGAGCACGGUAGGGGGAUCUGGAAUUCCUGGUGUAGCGGUGAAAUGCGCAGAUAUCAGGAGGAACACCGGUGGCGAAGGCGGGAUCCUGGGCCGUUGCUGACACUGAGGCGCGAAAGCUGGGGGAGCGAACAG
rnacentral:rRNA from 1 species